AUUGAACGCUAGCGGGAUGCCUUACACAUGCAAGUCGAACGGAGUGGCGAACGGGUGAGUAAUGUAUCGGAACGUGCCCAGUCGCGGGGGAUAACUACGCGAAAGCGGAGCUAAUAACGCAUACUAUUGGAGCGGCCGAUACAGGCUUGGCUAGUUGGUGGGGGAACGGCGCACCAAGGCGAAGAUCCGUCGCCGGUUUGAGAGGACGACCAGCCACACUGGGACUGAGACACGGCCCAGACUCCUACGGGAGGCAGACGUGGGGAAUUUUGGACAAUGGGGGAAACCCUGAUCCAGCCAUCCCGCGUGUGCGAGGAAGACCUUCGGUUUGUAAAGCACUUUUGGCAGGGAAGCGGUACCUGCAUAAUAAGCACCGGCUAACUACGUGACAGCAGCCGCGGUAAUUC
rnacentral:rRNA from 1 species